UCCUACGGGGGGCAGCAGCGAGGAAUAUUGGUCAAUGGUCGGGAGACUGAACCAGCCAAGCCGCGUGAGGGAUGAAGGUACAGAGUAUCGUAAACCUCUUUUGUCAGGGAACAAAGGCGGGGACGUGUCCCCGGAUGAGUGUACCUGAAGAAAAAGCAUCGGCUAACUCCGUGCCAGCAGCCGCGGUAAUACGGAGGAUGCGAGCGUUAUCCGGAUUUAUUGGGUUUAAAGGGUGCGCAGGCGGUCUGUUAAGUCAGCGGUCAAAGCCCGGGGCUCAACCCCGGCCCGCCGUUGAAACUGGCAGU
rnacentral:rRNA from 1 species